GUGCUUGCUUCAGCAGCACAUGUACUAAAAUUGGAACAAUAUAGAGAUUAGCAUGGCCCCUUUGCAAGGAUGACAUGCAAAUUUGUCAAGUUCCAUAUUUUUUA